AUCGUAAGGACAUGUGGAGCGCUUAGAAGUGAGAAUGCCGGUGUGAGUAGCGAAAGACGGGUGAGAAUCCCGUCCACCGAUUGACUAAGGUUUCCAGAGGAAGGCUCGUCCGCUCUGGGUUAGUCGGGUCCUAAGCUGAGGCCGACAGGCGUAGGCGAUGGAUAACAGGUUGAUAUUCCUGUACCACCUAUAAUCGUUUUAAUCGAUGGGGGGACGCAGUAGGAUAGGCGAAGCGUGCGAUUGGAUUGCACGUCUAAGCAGUAAGGCUGAGUAUUAGGCAAAUCCGGUACUCAUUAAGGCUGAGCUGUGAUGGGGAGAAGACAUUGUGUCUUCGAGUCGUUGAUUUCACACUGCCGAGAAAAGCCUCUAGAUAGAAAAUAGGUGCCCGUACCGCAAACCGACACAGGUAGUCAAGAUGAGAAUUCUAAGGUGAGCGAGCGAACUCUCGUUAAGGAACUCGGCAAAAUGACCCCGUAACUUCGGGAGAAGGGGUGCUCUUUAGGGUUAACGCCCAGAAGAGCCGCAGUGAAUAGGCCCAAGCGACUGUUUAUCAAAAACACAGGUCUCUGCUAAACCGUAAGGUGAUGUAUAGGGGCUGACGCCUGCCCGGUGCUGGAAGGUUAAGAGGAGUGGUUAGCUUCUGCGAAGCUACGAAUCGAAGCCCCAGUAAACGGCGGCCGUAACUAUAACGGUCCUAAGGUAGCGAAAUUCCUUGUCGGGUAAGUUCCGACCCGCACGAAAGGCGUAACGAUUUGGGCACUGUCUCAACGAGAGACUCGGUGAAAUCAUAGUACCUGUGAAGAUGCAGGUUACCCGCGACAGGACGGAAAGACCCCGUGGAGCUUUACUGUAGCCUGAUAUUGAAAUUCGGCACAGCUUGUACAGGAUAGGUAGGAGCCUUUGAAACGUGAGCGCUAGCUUACGUGGAGGCGCUGGUGGGAUACUACCCUAGCUGUGUUGGCUUUCUAACCCGCACCACUUAUCGUGGUGGGAGACAGUGUCAGGCGGGCAGUUUGACUGGGGCGGUCGCCUCCUAAAAGGUAACGGAGGCGCUCAAAGGUUCCCUCAGAAUGGUUGGAAAUCAUUCAUAGAGUGUAAAGGCAUAAGGGAGCUUGACUGCGAGACCUACAAGUCGAGCAGGGUCGAAAGACGGACUUAGUGAUCCGGUGGUUCCGCAUGGAAGGGCCAUCGCUCAACGGAUAAAAGCUACCCCGGGGAUAACAGGCUUAUCUCCCCCAAGAGUUCACAUCGACGGGGAGGUUUGGCACCUCGAUGUCGGCUCAUCGCAUCCUGGGGCUGUAGUCGGUCCCAAGGGUUGGGCUGUUCGCCCAUUAAAGCGGUACGCGAGCUGGGUUCAGAACGUCGUGAGACAGUUCGGUCCCUAUCCGUCGUGGGCGUAGGAAAUUUGAGAGGAGCUGUCCUUAGUACGAGAGGACCGGGAUGGACAUACCUCUGGUGUACCAGUUGUCGUGCCAACGGCAUAGCUGGGUAGCUAUGUGUGGACGGGAUAAGUGCUGAAAGCAUCUAAGCAUGAAGCCCCCCUCAAGAUGAGAUUUCCCAACUUCGGUUAUA
rnacentral:rRNA from 1 species